UCCUUUUUAGACAGAAAAAAACUCCCCAAG
rnacentral:piRNA from 1 species